AUGAUGUGGUUUAAUUCGAUGCAACGACGAAAAACCUUACCCACCUUUGACAUGGCAGGAAUCCUAAAGAGAUUUGGGAGUGCUCGAAAGAGAACCUGCACACAGGUGCUGCAUGGCUGUCGUCAGCUCGUGUCGUGAGAUGUUCGGGUUAAGUCCCGCAACGAGCGCAACCCUUGCCAUUAGUUGCUACGAAAGGGCACUCUAAUGGGACUGCCGGUGACAAACCGGAGGAAGGUGGGGAUGACGUCAAGUCCUCAUGGCCCUUAUAGGUGGGGCUACACACGUCAUACAAUGGCCGGUACAGAGGGUAGCCAACCCGCGAGGGGGAGCCAAUCCCACAAAGCCGGUCGUAGUCCGGAUCGCAGUCUGCAACUCGACUGCGUGAAGUCGGAAUCGCUAGUAAUCGUGGAUCAGCAUGUCACGGUGAAUACGUUCCCGGGUCUU
rnacentral:rRNA from 1 species